rnacentral:rRNA from 1 species
UAUCUCUGUAGAGUCUGCAUAUCAAUAAGCGGAGGAAAAGAAACUAACUAGGAUUCCCUCAGUAACGGCGAGUGAAGCGGGAAGAGCUCAAAUUUGAAAUCUUCAAGGUUCUACCUUGACGAAUUGUAGUUUAAAGAAGUGUUUUCUGUUGGAGUUUUGGUAAAAGUUCUUUGGAACAGGACAUCAUAGAGGGUGAGAAUCCCGUAUUUGACCAUUAUUUCCAGCUUUGUGAUACACUUUCAAAGAGUCGGAUUGUUUGGGAAUGCAGUCCAAAAUGGGUGGUAAAUUUCAUCUAAAGCUAAAUACUGGCGAGAGACCGAUAGCGAACAAGUACCGUGAGGGAAAGAUGAAAAGAACUUUGAAAAGAGAGUUAAACAGUACGUGAAAUUGUCAAAAGGGAAGCGUUUGACACCAGUGUUGUUUUUCUGAAAAUCAAUUAAAGAACUGUUUAUGCUAAGCUGUUUAGACUUUAUCAGCUAUCUGUUUAGUUUUGAGCUUUUCUUUAAUGCACUUUUCAGUUAACAAGUCAACAUCAAUUUCUUUUGCUGUAAAAAAGCUUGAGGAAGGUGGCUUGAGAUUCGUCUUAAGUGUUUAUAGCCUCUUGCCUAUGCAGUCGGAGAGAUUGAGGUCUGCAGCGUAGAUCCUUCGGGGCUAGAUACAUUUGUGCUAAGUUAUAGCAUUUAUAGACAACUUGUUGACUAUGAUUAGUCAUUGUAGCUUACUCGCUUAUGUUAUUUUACCUACGCUUAGGAUGUUGACGAUCAGCUGAGCGCG